rnacentral:lncRNA from 1 species
AGGAAGGAUUUCUGUAUGUCUACUUAUUUGGUUUUUUAAAUAUUCUGGAUUGCAAUUGUGCUGCUCCUUAACAACCAGGUCAAAUUAUCAGUAAACUUUUUUUUUUUUUCUUUUUUUUUUCCUCCCAACAGCAUCACUGGCAUUUGUUAUAGAAAGAAACAAAAUAUGUUUACCUUCAUAUUUCUAGCAGUGGGUAGCGCCAUUGUGAAAAACUGUUGAGCAGUCCACAAGACAAAAAACGAAUGUACUGCAGACAGAGCUGCUUACGUGGAAGCACAGAGUUAUGGUGAUUAUAUUUGUUUUAAAAAUCUGUGCUAAUGUGAAGAUAACUGAUGUGAAUGUAUCCUCUUGAAACCUUCUGAAUUACUGUGUCCUGAUCAACGCUGCAGUGAUUGGGGCAGGGAUCUGAUGGGUAUUUCACCACAACAAAUCCUACAUGAAAUUUUAGGUGGAAUGAAGAAUGCUGAACACACCUUCAGUAAGGAUCAAUAUUUUGAUUUACACUGGACAUUGACAUGGUGGGUGAUAUAAUGGCUGGAUACUUCCAUUUUCUUGAUAUCUCAAAAUGGCUGGAAUGCAGUGCUUUUCUGCCACAGCUCUCCAUUUUGCCCUUGUUGCAAAGCUCAUGUGUAUCAGAGGCUACCUUUGCUACAGGAUUCAAUGAAUUAGAGACCACACAAAUAACCUGAUCUUUCUGAUAAUACACUGAACAUUAAAGUGAAGUACUAUGUAUCUGUCAAGGCAGACAGAUCUGGUAAGAAACUGAGUCUGUGUACAUGCUUGAAUAUACGUAGAAAAUCAUAAAGUAGCUAAAGAUUGAAGAGCCCAGAGAGUGAAGAAUAAGUGGAAAGUGAUUAAAUGGUAAGUGAUAUCUUAAAAGCAUAUGAGAGAUUUUAAAAGGAUCCAUGCAGAAAACAAAGAGCUAUUAGUUAAAAAAGGUAAAUUACAGAUAGCACUAUUCUAAUAUCAGUCCCACAAUAGCCAUCAGAGAUGAACCAGUAAUGUAAUUUCUUUUAAAUGGAUGCUAU